rnacentral:rRNA from 1 species
AUUUCCUUAGUAGCUGCGAGCGAACAGGAAAGAGCCCAGCACUGAAUCCCGCGGUCAGCAACGGCCGCCGGGAAAUGUAGUGUUAGGGAGGGCCCGUUUAUCUCGGAGCCGCGCGAUGCGUCCAAGUCCUUCUUGAACGGGGCCACAACCCAUAGAGGGUGCCAGGCCCGUAGCGACCGUCGCCGGUUUCGAGAGGGUUUCUCCUCAGAGUCGGAUUGCUUGAGAGUGCAGUCCUAAGUGGGUGGUAAACUCCAUCUAAGGCUAAAUAUAACCACGAGACCGAUAGCGAACAAGUACCGUGAGGGAAAGUUGAAAAGCACUUUGAAGAGAGAGUUAAACAGUACGUGAAACCGUUCAGGGGUAAACCUGAGCAACCCGAAAGAUCGAUCGGGGAAGUUCACCGUGUCUUGAUGCGCGAGCGUGAGUCGUGCGACGCGUGCAUUGCGGCUUGCCGUUGUGUGCGUGCUCCUUCUUGCGUGACCGGGUAUCGAGCGCGUGCACUCUUCCCCCAGUAGAACGUCGCGAUCCGUUGAGUGCUGGUCUAAGGCCUGCGGUGGAGCCCGUGUUGCUCGCUUUGCGGCGAGUGGCGCGGACCCGUGGUGUUCCCGACCAGCUCGCUCGACGGUAGCAUAGUAUGCAGCGUAGAGCCGCACACAUUUUGAAGUGCGUUCAGCCCGUCGCAAGCACGUCCGCCCGAUAAGUUGGUGUGACGGACACAAAGUGCCGUCCCCAGCCACGGACGACUGUUGGCGUGCGGUGUCUUUGAACAGACUCUCACACGCUCAUCUGCGGCGCUAUAGCUUUGGGUACGUUCAGGACCCGUCUUGAAACACGGACCAAGGAGUCUAGCAUGUGCGCGAGUCAUUGAGUAAAACGAAACUCAAAGGCGCAAUGAAAGUAAAAGCUGGCCUUGCGCCAGCCGAGGGAAGAUGAGCAAACGUACAAACACGCGUGCUCCGCACUCCCGGGGCGUCUCACGCUUUCUCGCGUCGCUUGCGGCGCGCGAGCGGAGGCGCACCUAGAGCGUACACGCUGGGACCCGAAAGAUGGUGAACUAUGCUUGGUCAGGACGAAGUCAGGGGAAACCCUGAUGGAGGUCCGUAGCGAUUCUGACGUGCAAAUCGAUCGUCGGAACUGAGUAUAGGGGCGAAAGACUAAUCGAACUAUCUAGUAGCUGGUUCCCUCCGAAGUUUCCCUCAGGAUAGCUGGCGCUCAUGCGUACAAGUUUCAUCCGGUAAAGCGAAUGAUUAGAGGCAUUGGGGCCGAAACGGCCUCAACCUAUUCUCAAACUUUAAAUGGGUGAGAUCGCCGGCUUGCUUAAAUGCUUGAAGCCGUGCGCUCACAAUGUAUUGAAUUAGAGUGCCAAGUGGGCCAUUUUUGGUAAGCAGAACUGGCGCUGUGGGAUGAACCAAACGCCGAGUUAAAGCACCAAAAUCGACGCUUAUGGGAUACCAUGAAAGGCGUUGGUAGCUUAGGACAGCAGGACGGUGGUCAUGGAAGUCGAAAUCCGCCAAGGAGUGUGUAACAACUCACCUGCCGAAGCUACUAGCCCUGAAAAUGGACGGUGCUGAAGCGUCGUGCUUAUACUCGGCCGCCAGCGGCAUGUGCGUGCGCGGCGCGUCGUUUCGGCGGCGUGAUCGCGCACAUGAAGCCCUGGUGAGUAGGAGGGUCGCGGCGGUGUGCGCAGAAGGAUUGGCCGUGAGGCCGUCUGGAGCCGCCGCCGGUGCAGAUCUUGGUGGUAGUAGCAAAUACUCCAGCGAGGCCCUGGAGGACUGACGUGGAGAAGGGUUUCGUGUGAACAGCUGUUGCACACGAGUCAGUCGAUCCUAAGCCCUAGGCGAAAGCCGAUGUUGAUGCGACGUAGUUUCGAACAAAUUUUGUGUAUGAAAAAUAAACAGCAAUUAACAUAGUGCGUGUGCACGCAAAAAACGCACGCUGUCAGCGUUUGCACGCGUGCUGUUGUACGUUGUACGCUGUUGGAAUGUCGGGUGCGCUCGCAAAUUGUGUGCAUUGCACACACAAACAUGCACGCGCUUCCAUCGCACACGUAUAUCGCGCGCGCAGCGUUGUCGUGCGCUUUUGUGCACACAUCGAAUUACACAAAUUAAAUUUUUCACACACACACAAACACAAAGUGAACACGUUCGUUGGGCGAAAGGGAAUCCGGUUCCUAUUCCGGAACCCGGCAGCGGAACCGCUAAAAAGUCGGGCCCUCGCAAGAGAGUUCGUCGGGGUAACCCAAAAAGACCCGAAGACGCCGUCGGGAGAUCUGGGAAGAGUUUUCUUUUCUGCAUGAGCAAACGAGUUCCAUGGAAUCCUCUAGCAGGGAGAUAUGGUUUGGUUUGCGAAGAGCACCGCAGUUGCCGCGGUGUCCAGAUCUUCCCCUCGGACCUUGAAAAUUCGGGAGAGGGCCACGUGGAGCGUUCGCGCCGGUUCGUACCCAUAUCCGCAGCAGGUCUC